CGGAGAGCCAGUCCAAGUCCCAAAACUGAAGAACUUGGAGUCCGAUGUUCGAGGACAGGAAGCAUCCAACAGAGGAGAAAGAUGUAGGUGGGAAGUCUAGGCCAGGAUCUUUUCACAUUUUUCUGCCUGUUUAUAUUCUAGCCGCACUGGCCGCUGAUUAGAUUGUUCUCAACCAGAUGAAGGGUGGGCCUGCCUCUCCCGGCCCACUGACUUGAAUGUUAAACUCGUUUGGCAACACCCUCACAGACACACCCAGGAUCAAUACUCGUUUGGUAACACCCUCCCAGACACACCCAGGAUCAAUACUCGUUUGGUAACACCCUCACAGACACACCCAGGAUCAAUACUCGUUUGGCAACACCCUCACAGACACACCCAAGAUCAAUACUUUGUAUCCUUCAAUCUAAUCAAGUUGACACUCAGUAUUAACCACCACAGGUGCAAUAAAUGAGCUGACAAUCUA
rnacentral:lncRNA from 1 species